rnacentral:piRNA from 1 species
CCAGAAGGUGGAGAGGAAUGGAUGCC